UACGAAGGGGGCUAGCGUUGCUCGGAAUUACUGGGCGUAAAGGGCGCGUAGGCGGCGCUGCAAGUCAGGCGUGAAAUUCCUGGGCUUAACCUGGGGGCUGCGCUUGAGACUGUGGUGCUAGAGGACGGAAGAGGGUCGUGGAAUUCCCAGUGUAGAGGUGAAAUUCGUAGAUAUUGGGAAGAACACCAGUGGCGAAGGCGGCUCACUGGCCCGUAACUGACGCUGAGGUGCGAAAGCGUGGGGAGCAAACAGG
rnacentral:rRNA from 1 species